GAUGAACGCUGGCGGCGUGCCUAAUACAUGCAAGUCGAGCGAACAGACGAGGAGCUUGCUCCUCUGACGUUAGCGGCGGACGGGUGAGUAACACGUGGAUAACCUACCUAUAAGACUGGGAUAACUUCGGGAAACCGGAGCUAAUACCGGAUAAUAUAUUGAACCGCAUGGUUCAAUAGUGAAAGACGGUUUUGCUGUCACUUAUAGAUUGAUCCGCGCCGCAUUAGCUGGUUGGUAAGGUAACGGCUUACCAAGGCGACGAUGCGUAGCCGACCUGAGAGGGUGAUCGGCCACACGGGAACUGAGACACGGCCCAGACCCCUACGGGAGGCAGCAGUAGGGAAUCUUCCGCAAUGGGCGAAAGCCUGACGGAGCAACGCCGCGUGAGUGAUGAAGGUCUUCGGAUCGUAAAACUCUGUUAUUAGGGAAGAACAAAUGUGUAAGUAACUAUGCACGUCUUGACGGUACCUAAUCAGAAAGCCACGGCUAACUACGUG
rnacentral:rRNA from 1 species